GAGAACACAGACACAAAUCCAAGGACAGACAAGGUCAUGGAGAAAUAGUCUAAGAAUAGAGGCAGCUUCAAGGAGUGUGACUCUUCACAACAGAGGAGAGAAGCCAUGGACUCAAAAAAGAAAUGGAUCCUGGGAGUGCAUCUUAAGUGCCCCACCCUACUGAGACUCUGUGUGAAGACUCUAAAAUAAAAGAGAAAAGGAUUUCUAGGUCCUGGAGUACAAAGACUUAUUUUUGCAGGACAUCAAGUUGGAAUUGUCCAUCCAGAAUUUGAUCAUGAGUGACUGAAGAAGUUCAGGAGAGAUAUGACAGCCAGAUAUGGAGGUAAUCAGCACAGUGAUGAUCUUUGAACUCAGUCUUUGCUAGAUGAUAAGAAACCUGAAAGUUUCUACCAAUCACUUUCCUUCAAGAUCCUGCUCUGCUGGGAAGACAUGAAGUCUCAAGAUUUGGGUUCAGCUAAAAUACUUAGCCAACACUUCUAGGGAAUAAGGAUCAUUAUAGGGUUGUCUGAAGAAUCAAGUUCUUUUUAGGAUAAAUGAAAAGAUUGCCAGUUUUUGUCAAGGUAGCUUUUCCUGACCACUUCUA